UCAAAGAUAACUGUCUCAAGAAUGAGAAACUAUUGGUGAUUGUUCUUGCUGACAGAACCAACAGAAACUCAAACCAAACAGCAACAACUCCUUCUCCUUCUCCUUCUGUUCCUGUAUCUCCUUCUCCUUCUCCAUUAUCCUCGCACACGUCAGAUGCAUUGGCUCCUUCACUACCACCUUCUCAGCUAAAUGGUUCGUCUCCUCCACCACCUUCUCAGGUAGAUGGUUCAUCUCCACCGCCUCUUCAGCAAGUAGGUUCAGCUCCACCGCUAGGGACUGAUGUGACAAAUCCUGCUACUCCAACUACAUCUCCUGUUUCUGAACCUCCUCCUCCUAAUGCUGCUUCUUCAAUCUUGCUUAGCUUUGGUUGUUCUGUUGGAGCACUCAUGGUUUCACUUCUCGUCUAUUCUAAGUAAAAUGUAUGAGU
rnacentral:lncRNA from 1 species